CAGGUAGGCGGUUUGGUAAGUCUUUUGUGAAAGCUCCCGGCUCAACUGGGAGAGGCCAAGGGAAACUACCGGACUAGAGUGUGGUAGGGGAUACUGGAAUUCCUGGUGUAGCGGUGAAAUGCGUAGAUAUCAGGAGGAAUACCUAUGGCGAAAGCAGGUAUCUGGGCUAUCACUGACGCUGAGCUGCGAAAGCUAGGGGAGCAAACA
rnacentral:rRNA from 1 species